rnacentral:rRNA from 1 species
AGGACGAACGCUGGCGGCGCGCUUAACACAUGCAAGUCGAGCGAGAACCUGGCCUUCGGGCCUGGGGAAAGCGGCGAACGGGUGAGUAACACGUGGGUAACCCACCCUUGGUACCGGGAUAGCCCGAGGAAACUCGGAUUAAUACCGGAUGGCCCAACAGCUCUUCGGGGCGGUUGGAAAAGGUAGCUUCGGCCUCCGACCAAGGACGGGCCCGCGGCGGAUUAGCUUGUUGGUGAGGUAACGGCUCACCAAGGCGACGAUCCGUAGCUGGUCUGAGAGGACGAUCAGCCACACUGGGACUGAGACACGGCCCAGACUCCUACGGGAGGCAGCAGUGGGGAAUCUUGCGCAAUGGGCGAAAGCCUGACGCAGCGACGCCGCGUGGGGGAAGAAGGCUUUCGGGGUUGUAAACCCCUUUCAGGAAGGACGAAGCCACUCGGGUGAAUAGCCCAGAGGGUGACGGUACUUCCAGAAGAAGCCCCGGCUAACUACGCGCCAGCACCGC